AGAACAUAUAAAGGAGGUUAGAAAGGCCUUGUGGGCGGGGCACGCGCGCCGCGGUUAUGAGCAAAUGCUCAACUUCAACCGAAAUUUUCUUUACCGGCCAUCAAUCGCGCUCUUGUUUUGACAGCGUACGUAAGCUCCGCAAAAAAAUCAAAUUAUGCCAUCUUGUGCUAUUAUAUCGUGUCGGAAAAGAAGCCAGGUGUGUAGUGUAGUACGAGAAGGGAUUUCUUUCCACCGAUAAGUCCAAAAACAUUAAAAUACUUGUGAUAUUCGUAAUUAUAACAUUAGCAUUAUGAAGUUUGUAGACAAAAACGAUAUAAUCGCAAGCAGACGGAUAGUAAUACAUUGCUUGCAAUAUAUGGGUACCAUUUUGCACUACGUGAGCGAUCGCGCAAUGUAUCACGUUCACUGCGAGAGUCCCGAAUACCAAACCAAAGGUUAAUUUCCACGAAAUCUAGACAUAUCGAUAGUGCUGUGCCAAUUUGUAAGCAAUGUCGAUAAUGACUAAGAUACAAUUGAUUAUUAUCAAUAGUACAAAGUAUAACUAAAAUAAUUACGACCAAUUAUUAAUAUAGAUUUUAAGUGGGUUUCCAACAGAUCCAAGUAUAAGAAAACUGUGGAUUGAGACAACUGGUAGAAUUGAUUGGAUCCCUACUAAAUGUAGCACAAUUUGUUCGCAACAUUUCGAUGACAAUCGGGACUGAUUUAUUUAACAACAUAAGUCAUCAUCAGGUUGGCUUAUAUUCUAGUGCGAGCCAUGUGACAGAUCUAAGGCUAUUAUAGAAAAAUAUAUUAGUGUUAGAUUGCAUUUCAUUUUGAAAAACCGUAAUUUAAAAGAGAGCAAGCGUAUGCUACUUAAUAAAUAAGUAUUAUUUCAGGGACAAUAAUUUUUUUAUUUGUGAACUGGUGAUAAGCACCAAAAAUAUAAGGUUGAGAGGCAACCGACUUUCUCUAAUAAACAUGGUAGAUAUUCCAUGUUAAAUCCUAAUGUUAAUAAUAAAAUUGGUUUUAAAAUUCA